rnacentral:rRNA from 1 species
GAGUUUGAUCCUGGCUCAGGACGAACGCUGGCGGCGUGCUUAACACAUGCAAGUCGAACGGAGCACCCUUGAAAGAGUUUUCGGACAAUGGAGAGGAAUGCUUAGUGGCGGACUGGUGAGUAACGCGUGAGGAACCUGCCUUCCAGAGGGGGACAACAGUUGGAAACGACUGCUAAUACCGCAUGACACAUUUGAAUCGCAUGGUUUGAAUGUCAAAGAUUUAUCGCUGGAAGAUGGCCUCGCGUCUGAUUAGCUAGUAGGCGGGGUAACGGCCCACCUAGGCGACGAUCAGUAGCCGGACUGAGAGGUUGACCGGCCACAUUGGGACUGAGAUACGGCCCAGACUCCUACGGGAGGCAGCAGUGGGGAAUAUUGGGCAAUGGGCGCAAGCCUGACCCAGCAACGCCGCGUGAAGGAAGAAGGCUUUCGGGUUGUAAACUUCUUUUAAGAGGGAAGAGCAGAAGACGGUACCUCUUGAAUAAGCCACGGCUAACUACGUGCCAGCAGCCGCGGUAAUACGUAGGUGGCAAGCGUUGUCCGGAUUUACUGGGUGUAAAGGGCGUG